AAAUCCCCGGGCUCAACCUGGGAACUGCAUCUGAUACUGGCAAGCUUGAGUCUCGUAGAGGGGGGUAGAAUUCCAGGUGUAGCAGUGAAAUGCGUAGAGAUCUGGAGGAAUACCGGUGGCGAAGGCGGCCCCCUGGACGAAGACUGACGCUCAGGUGCGAAAGCGUGGGGAGCAAACAGGAUUAGAUACCCUGGUAGUCCACGCCGUAAACGAUGUCGACUCGGAGGAUGUGCCCUUGAGGCGUGGCUUCCGGAGCUAACGCGUUAAGUCGACCGCCUGGGGAGUACGGCCGCAAGGUUAAAACUCAAAUGAAUUGACGGGGGCCGCACAAGCGGUGGAGCAUGUGGUUUAAUUCGAUGCAACGCGAAGAACCUUACCUGGUCUUGACAU
rnacentral:rRNA from 1 species